rnacentral:lncRNA from 1 species
CUGAGGCCUGAAAACCUUUAGGCCACGUUUAGAGCAAUCAGACUGUGGUGAACAGACAAUUGUGGGAUCGGCCUACCCAACACAGAAUGGAGAACGUGGGAGCUGUGGCACUUCUGAACGUGGAGAUGUUUUGCCAAGCUUCUCAGCAUGUUGGGGGAAUGAGCCUGGUCCCCAUUUGGUGGAAUACUGCAGAACUGAUAUGCACAUCUUUCUGCUAAAAAACAGCAGACGUCUUUUGGAUGAUGGAAAGAGGCAUAUCCGCUUUGAUACAGUUCUUCAAGGGAGAACUUGGGGGUACAGCUUCGGUGUAAAGGAUCUUGCCAGCCACCCUCAGGAGGCCACAAUUGUUCUCUAGGACAGAGCAUGGAAACAUGUGUCAAAUCUCCCAGAAGGUAAGAAAUACAAUGGGAUUUGCUUUUUGUCCUGGGCCCAGGUGAUGCACAAUCUGGCCUCAAACCAAC